CGGACGGGUGAGUAACGCGUGAGAUGGGGAUCUAGGUUCGGGACAACCACUGGAAACGGUGGCUAAUACCGGGUAUGCCGAGAGGUGAAAGGUUAACUGCCUGGAGAUGAGCUCGCGUCUGAUUAGCUAGUUGGUGGUGUAAGGGACUACCAAGGCGACGAUCAGUAGCUGGUCUGAGAGGAUGAUCAGCCACACUGGAACUGAGACACGGUCCAGACUCCUACGGGAGGCAGCAGUGGGGAAUUUUCCGCAAUGGGCGAAAGCCUGACGGAGCAAUACCGCGUGAGGGAGGAAGGCUCUUGGGUUGUAAACCUCUUUUCUCAGGGAAUAAGCAAGUGAAGGUACCUGAGGAAUCAGCAUCGGCUAACUCCGUGCCAGCAGCCGCGGUAAUACGGAGGAUGCAAGCGUUAUCCGGAAUGAUUGGGCGUAAAGCGUCCGUAGGUGGCUGUGUGUGUCUAUUGUUAAAGAGUUUGGCUCAACCAAAUAAGGGCGGUAGAAACUACACAGCUAGAGUGCGUUCGGGGCAGAGGGAAUUCCUGGUGUAGCGGUGAAAUGCGUAGAGAUCAGGAAGAACACCGGUGGCGAAAGCGCUCUGCUAGGCCGCAACUGACACUGAGGGACGAAAGCUAGGGGAGCGAAUGGGAUUAGAUACCCCAGUAGUCCU
rnacentral:rRNA from 1 species